rnacentral:rRNA from 1 species
AUUGAACGCUGGCGGCAGGCCUAACACAUGCAAGUCGAACGAGUGGCGGAGGGGUGAGUAAUGUCUGGGCAACUGCCUGAUGGAGGGGGAUGACUACUGGAAACGGUAGCAACUACCGCAUAAGAUCGGAUCUGCCCAGAGGGGUUUAGCUAGUGGGUGGGGUAACGGCUCACCUAGGCGUAGAACCCCAGCUGGUCUGAGAGGAUGACCAGCCACAGUGGUACUGAGACACGGUCCAGACUCCUACGGUAGGCAGCAGUGGGGAAUAUUGCACAAUGGGCGCAAGCCUGAUGCAGCAAUGCCGCGUGUAUGAAGAAGGCCUUCGGGUUGUAAAGUACUUUCAGCGGGGAGGCGUUACCCACAGAGGAAGCACCGGCUAACUCCGUGCCAGCAGCCGCGGUAAUUC